AUGAAUUUUUUGUGGGGAGAUGAAGAGAAUAGGAAAAGAACACAUUGGCUGGCAUGGGAUAAGAUGACGAGACCAAAAAGUGAAGGGGGUAUGGGCUUUUGCGAUGUUCGGCUUUUUAAUCAAGCGCUUCUGGCGAAACAAGCUUGGCGUCUAUUGGUUUUUCCGGACUCUCUGUGUGCAAAGGUGGUGAAAGCUAAAUAUUAUCCUCAUGGGCACCUUAUUGGUACGGUAUUCCCUCAAGCUACAUCCCUUACCUGGCAAGGAAUUGUGCAUGGCCUCGAAUUGCUAAAAAAAGGUAUUAUUUGGAGAGUGGUCUAUGGGACUAGUAUAAAUAUUUGGAUGGAUAAUUGA
rnacentral:rRNA from 1 species